UCUCUACAUAUUUACUGUCGGAGUCAAAGCGCAGGAACAGAAGCAGGCCAAACUGAAUCUGUAUAAGAACAGCGAUUAUGUGUUAUCUGUAUCUUCUCAGACCAGUCCAGAUGUCAACAGCAAUUUUGUUAUUCUGCCUCUGCUGCAAGGCGAUAGGGUGUACGUCAGAACUGGAGCCGAUAGCCAGCUCUAUGGAAGACCCAACGCUAUUUUCAACACGUUUUCUGGCUACCUCAUCUAGCCUGGCGCACAAACCAAUGACUGUCAAUGUGUAUGUGUAUACUAUGUGUAUAAUUAAAAAGUGUAAAUUGAAA
rnacentral:sRNA from 1 species